rnacentral:lncRNA from 1 species
UGGAAUAGGGGUCAUAUUCAUAAAAAUUUUACAUUAUAACAGGUUUAAUUAGGAGCAUUUGACUCACUUCAAUCAUAGCAUCCUAAUCAUUAGGCAUGAACUCAUACACAUUAUACAGGUUAUGUCCUUCAAGGGACAAUGAAAAUUGAUGCGCUUUAACCCCCUAAGCAGUAGGGUAACAGGCUAAAGCAUAGCAGAUUUGACCUUCAGGUGUUUAAGCUGAAGCAGAUCCAAGAUGAUUUAACAUCUCUGUAUUGUCAAAGAACAAAUCGAAGAAACAGAUUUAGCAUCUCCAUAUUCGACGGAGAGCAGAUCGAAGACAUAGUAGAUCUAACCUUAGGAUGUUUUCACAUUGAAGUAGAUCCAAGAUGAUUUGGCAUCCUUGCGUUUACAAGGAGUAGAUCGAAGACAUAGCAGAUUUGGCUUUCACGUGUUUACGCUGAAGCAGAUCUAAGAUGAUUUGGCAUCUCUGUAUUGUCAGAGAACAAAUCGGAGAAACAGAUUUGGCAUCUCCAUAUUCGACGGAGAGCAGAUGGAAGACAUAGCAGAUCUGACCUUCAUUGAAGCAGAUCCAAGAUGAUUUGGCAUCUCUAUAUUAGACGGGGAGCAGAUCGAAGACACAACAGAUCUGACCUUUAUUGAAGCAGAUCCAAGAUGAUUUGGCAUCUCUGUAUUAGACGGGGAGCAGAUCAAAGAUAUAAUAGAUUGGACCUUCAUUGAAGCAGAUCCAAGAUGAUUUGGCAUCUCUGUAUUAAACGGGGAGCAGAUCGAAGACAUAGCAGAUCUGACCUUCAUGUGUUUACAUCGAAGCAGAUCCAAGAUGACAGAUUUGCCAUCUCUGUAUUAGACGAGGAGCAAAUCGGAGAUAACAGAUUUGGCAUUUUUGUAUUAGACGGGGAGCAGAUUGAAGAAGCAGAUUUGGUGUCUCUGUAUUAGACGGGGAGAAGAUCGAAGAUAACAGAUUUGACGUCUCUAUAUUAGACGGGGAGCAGAUCAAAAAUAGCAGAUAUCGCCUUCCUGAGUUGCAGUGAAACAGAUUGAAGCUGUCAAGAAGCCAUUUAAAGAAGAUCAAGGAUCAAGAACUCAAGACUCAGCGAGCCCGAGCAAAAUUGGUCCUUUUAUAGUCUUUACUCUAUUCCUGUUACACAACAAUGAGCAAAGAGGGGCAGCUGUAGGCACUCAAUUUUGCCCGGGCCCAGAAAUAAGUCCAAAAACAAAAAUAAUAAACCCCCAAAAAAAUGAAGUCAGAGUUCAGUCCAAAAUUACAAAUAUAAUUUGGCCCGAUCGGAAUGGCCCAUUACUUGAAAAGAUUUAAGGUCCAUCUACAAGCUUGACUCAUAUGGAAAUAUAAUCUUCAAUGAUAUGCAAUCUUAGAUAUGAUAUGCAAUCUUAGAUAUGAUACAAUCUUAGAUAUGAUAUGCAAUCUUAGAGGAUAUGAUUUUGUAAUCUUAGAGAUUUAAUUUGUAGAUACCUUUUAAUCUUAACUGUUAAUGUAAUUAAUCUGUACCGUUGGAUUUGAGGAGGUUCAACUAUAAAUAGAGGCCUCUCCCUUCAUUGUAAACACACUGGAGUUUUG